rnacentral:rRNA from 1 species
GACGAACGCUGGCGGCGUGCCUAAUACAUGCAAGUAGAACGCACAGUUUAUACCGUAGCUUGCUACACCAUAAACUGUGAGUUGCGAACGGGUGAGUAACGCGUAGGUAACCUGCCUGGUAGCGGGGGAUAACUAUUGGAAACGAUAGCUAAUACCGCAUAAUAUUGAUUAUUGCAUGAUAAUUGAUUGAAAGAUGCUAUUGCAUCACUACCAGAUGGACCUGCGUUGUAUUAGCUAGUAGGUGAGGUAACGGCUCACCUAGGCGACGAUACAUAGCCGACCUGAGAGGGUGAUCGGCCACACUGGGACUGAGACACGGCCCAGACUCCUACGGGAGGCAGCAGUAGGGAAUCUUCGGCAAUGGACGAAAGUCUGACCGAGCAACGCCGCGUGAGGGAAGAAGGGUUUCGGAUCGUAAAGCUCGGUUGUAAGAGAAGAACGGGUGUGAGAGUGGAAAGUUCACACUGUGACGGUAUCUUACCAGAAAGGGACGGCUAACUACGUG